rnacentral:tRNA from 2 species
UGGGGCGUCGCCAAGUGGUAAGGCAGCGGUUUUUGGUACCGCCAUUCGGAGGUUCGAUCCCUUCCGCCCCAA